GUGCUUGCUUUCCAGCACAUAUACUAAAAUUGGAUCGAUACAGAGAAGAUUAGCA
rnacentral:snRNA from 8 species